CCUACGGGAGGCAGCAGUGGGGAAUAUUGCGCAAUGGGCGAAAGCCUGACGCAGCGACGCCGCGUGAGGGAUGAAGGUCUUCGGAUCGUAAACCUCUGUCAGCAGGGAAGAACGGUCACUGUGCUAAUCAGCAGUGAAUUGACGGUACCUGCAAAGGAAGCAACGGCUAACUCCGUGCCAGCAGCCGCGGUAAUACGGAGGGUGCGAGCGUUAAUCGGAGUUACUGGGCGUAAAGCGCUCGUAGGCGGUAUGUCAAGUCAAGGGUGAAAUCCCCGCGCUCAACGUGGGAAGUGCCGUUGAAACUGGCAAACUGGAGUGUGUGAGAGGAUAGUGGAAUUCGAGGUGUAGGAGUGAAAUGCGUAGAUAUCUGGAGGAACAUCAGUGGCGAAGGCGACUAUCUGGCACAUAACUGACGCUGAGGAGCGAAAGCGUGGGUAGCGAACAGGAUUAGAUACCCCUGUAGUC
rnacentral:rRNA from 1 species